GCUACUUUAGCUUAGUGGUAGAGCGUCUGCUUUGGAAGCAGAAAAUCGUUAGUUCAAUCCUGACAAGUGACU
rnacentral:tRNA from 1 species